rnacentral:lncRNA from 1 species
CUCACUUACAUCAAUUCAGUAAAAAUGAUGUUUUAUUAGUUUUGCUAUUUUAAGGUCCAAAAUCAAGUGUGUCAUUUAGUUUAUGGUCAGCUGAUAACUUAUCAAUUUUCAGUGAAUCUUUACAAGUUCAAGUUCUGUUCAUGAGACUUACACAGAUCUCCUAGUUCUUGGCUUAAUUAUGAAACAGAAGAACUUCCCUUAGGUUAAAUAUUCAACGGGUUUUAGUGCUAUGACUUAACAAUUUAACUUGAUAUUGAUCAUCAGUUUUAACAUUUGUAAGUGUUAAAACCCUUUGACAUAAAAAGAUAUCUAUAUUAUUUGCUUUAAAUUCUAGUGUUCGCUUUGUCUCAAAAAAUUUUCAGCACCUCUAAUUAGGAGACUGUCACAAUGGAUUAUGUGAAAAAGCACAUGAGAGUUGUAAAGCCCUGACCGUGUUUGACACAAAUGUUAUGCGUCACCAGCAUGACCAGAGAGUCAUCAAAUCGAUCGAUAAUUGCUGACAAGGUUCACUGCAAGGACCAAGGAAGGUGGUUGAAGAUGAAUGGUGGUGAGUUGCUGGUCAUUUGCUGGCAAAAGUCAGCUUACAGAAUUUAGUCUAAUAGAUGCUGAAAGCAAAAGGAGAAAAUUCAUCCAGCCCCAGAAGUGUCAGUGAGGAAAGACAAUCUACAAACCCUGAAUGAUCACAAACACUGAGUUGAAAAAGAGAUUUCUCUUUAUUUCAGGAUGAAUAAAGAAAAAAACUAAGGCUACA